CGAGCGGUAACAUUUCUAGCUUGCUAGAAGAUGACGAGCGGCGGACGGGUGAGUAAUGCUUGGGAACAUGCCUUUAGGUGGGGGACAACCAUUGGAAACGAUGGCUAAUACCGCAUAAUGUCUACGGACCAAAGGGGGCUUCGGCUCUCGCCUUUAGAUUGGCCCAAGUGGGAUUAGCUAGUUGGUGAGGUAAUGGCUCACCAAGGCGACGAUCCCUAGCUGGUUUGAGAGGAUGAUCAGCCACACUGGAACUGAGACACGGUCCAGACUCCUACGGGAGGCAGCAGUGGGGAAUAUUGCACAAUGGGCGCAAGCCUGAUGCAGCCAUGCCGCGUGUGUGAAGAAGGCCUUCGGGUUGUAAAGCACUUUCAGUUGUGAGGAAAGGUUAGUAGUUAAUACCUGCUAGCUGUGACGUUAGCAACAGAAGAAGCACCGGCUAACUCCGUGCCAGCAGCCGCGGUAAUACGGAGGGUGCGAGCGUUAAUCGGAAUUACUGGGCGUAAAGCGUACGCAGGCGGUUUGUUAAGCGAGAUGUGAAAGCCCCGGGCUCAACCUGGGAACUGCAUUUCGAACUGGCAAACUAGAGUGUGAUAGAGGGUGGUAGAAUUUCAGGUGUAGCGGUGAAAUGCGUAGAGAUCUGAAGGAAUACCGAUGGCGAAGGCAGCCACCUGGGUCAACACUGACGCUCAUGUACGAAAGCGUGGGGAGCAAACGGGAUUAGAUACCCCGGUAGUCCACGCCGUACACGAUGUCUACUAGGAGUUCGGUUUUUCGGAACUGUCUUC
rnacentral:rRNA from 1 species